UAAGCUGCACGCCUGUUUAUGGGAAAAUGAAGCCCUGCUGAACCUUACUUUUCAAGUAACUAGUUAUCCUGAAUGUGUACUGGUCAAAUUUUGUUAAUUAUGCUUGCCCGUUUGCCAGCCUGAACGUUGUACCAACGUGUUCUAUGUCAUGCACUUUUUGAGUGGCCUGUUGUUGGUGCUUCUGUUUGUCUGGCUGCCUGGUGAUAUCUAAGUUUGGUUCUUGUUAUGUAGUAGUAAUAGCCUGCUGCAUUCUCUUGACAGUGUUCAGUGUUUGGUAUAUAUGGCAAAUCCGACCCCUCAAACUCGGCGGGCACGCCUUAUAUUUCAUCUUGCAUGCUCGCGUCCCUUGUAUCCUAAACCUCAAAACCAUGCAAUUCAUGCAAUGGUAUGUAAAAUACAUGAUCAUAGCCCAGUUCAUCGGAUUAGCUGGACAAAAAGUAACAUGAUUCAUCGGAGCUCAACGGCGGACAGUGCAUAUCCAUACUACAAACAUAGAUAAAAUAUAAAUAGAGGGAUGAAGGGUGGGGGAAAUCAUCAUUUCCUUGCUGGCCCCUUUCCCUUUCGGUUGUUGGCGUGGAGCAGGCGGUCCUGCUCCUUGGCAUGGCGAGCCGCCUUCGCUGCCGCCUCCUUUGUUGCCUCGUGCUCUGACAGUUGAAUGGCGAGUCGGAGUGCCGCAUUCUUGCGGUGGAGGCGCCAUGCAUAUGUCUCCGCCGUCGUGAGUGUUGCCUCAGGAUCGAUCGAUGCGCGGACAUCGACUGGGAUGCCGAUGCCCUCGCCUGCUGCCUGCUCGUGCCUUUGACUCGGGCGUUCGAGUGCAUGUUGGCCCUGCCGCGGGCACGAGGACCCGGCGGUGGCUGGGCACCAACCUCCGAAGCAGAGGGUGUUGGUGGUGGGCGGCGUACCUGGAGGAGCGGAGCAAAGUGGUUGGAGCUGCGCGCCUAGCGGUAAGGACCGGCGAUGUCGACGGGCGUCGGGCACUGUCGAAGUGGAUCUGCCGCUGUCGGAUCCGCCUUGGUCGACGACCGAAUGCCUCAAUGCAAUGCGGAGGGCGACCUCCUUCACAUCGUCGGGGUCCUCUUUGCGCAAUAGGCUAGACCAGUCGGAGCCUGAGUCCCCACCGGAGGCAGCUGCUUCGGUCGACGGCGAUAUUUGUGGGGCAGGCAUGGGCCAGGCCGGGCCAAGUCGACGUGGCGGGCGCGUUCGGACCGCCUCAUAUUUGGGCUGGAUAUGAGGGGUGUCGGUCACUCCGGGCGUUUGAGGGCGGUUUGAGAGGCCUGAUUGGAUCCAAAUUUCAUGACCGGUCAGUGACCGGACGGCCUGCCAGGGCGUUUAAAACAGAUUUGAGGGGUCCGAUUAUAGAUGCUCUCAUAUCCUAUGUCUGGGCCAUAUAUAUUCUCAUCUAUCUGUCCAUCACCUAGAAGGUGCCAUAACUUUCUUCCAUCUUCAUGUGGCUUUUCUACAUGCACACCCGGCUGAACUCCUCGCCGCGAUUGUGCCAUCCCACAGUAAUGCAUCGUGGCUCAACUUACUCACAGGCUAAUAGCCGCAACGUAAACUACGUUUCUGGCUAAUGUCCCUAUUCAUUGAGGUAUGUCUACCAACAAAUGGCCAGGACCAUAGGUCAUGGACAUUGAGAUGUCAAGCCGAUGGAUGUAGCGUAUCCAGCUGCAAACAUGGAGAGUUGGAGAGGUAUCUCUAUGCCCUCUCGAGUGAUCAGAUCAGGAAGAACAUGGUCGUGCAAGGUUAAGAGUUAACCUCAUCAGGGAGCUGAUUCACAUCUCGAGUAGCGAGGAGGAAGCCACCAAACAUAGUGUGCAAGUUCUCGUCUUGGGCUUUGACAAAGUGGCGAGGGGAUUUUACAUGUGACACAUUGAGGGCUCCUUUGAUUCAAAGGAAUUGCAUAGGAUUUUUGAAGGCUUUGGACCCUUAGGAAUUUUUCCUGUGAUGCUUGUUUGAUUCGUAGGAUUGGCAUCCUUAGAAAUUUUUCCAUAGGAUCCAUUUCUAGUACAUUUUGGAGGAAAAUUUCCAUCCACUCAAACCUUUUUGUAGAAUUCCUUUGUUUUUCCUGCGCUAUCAAACAUUCUUUCAAAUCCUAUAGAAUAAUAGAACAUGCCAUCCUAUUCCUGCAUUUUUCCUAUUCCUUCAUUUUGACAAUCCUGCGAAUCAAAGAGGCCCUGAGAGGUUUGUCUGAAUGAUUUUGUAGGGGCUUGGGAACUGGCACCUCUUGCUAGAGGUCGUUACCAGUUAUUGGGUGAGGAGUUUGAGUUAGCCUGGCGCGACUUGAUGAACUUGGCGCCAGAGCAGCAACCCAUUGGCGCAAGUAUGGAGUUGGUCUGCUAUCAGGUUGAGUAAGAAUUACUCAGAUUCUCGAACUGUUCCGGGGUGGCCCAAACCCCGACAGUUCCAACAGAGGAUCGUCAUUCCUCCUGACGGGCGCUCUCAUUCGCGCCCGCCAGUUCCCCGGUAGCCCCUACACCGGUAGCUUCCUUACCACCUGGCUCUCCUACAAAUCUCCCAUCCUCUUCCCUCUCAGCCGCUCUCUGUUUCUUAUACAUGUCCGAGAUUACAUCAGUUCUGCUAUCUGUAUCUAAACUGGGUGCAACCAUGUUGCAUGUGGUCCUUUUACCAAGCACCGAUUCCUUCUCCCCUGAAUCUUUUCAUCCCUUGAGCUGACCGAUGUACCUUUUUAUCUUGGCCUUGAACUCUAUUGUCUGAGUCUUCGCUGGGCUGCUGAUCUGGGAGGCUGGCACCCCCUCCUGGGCAGCCGAGUCCCCCACCUUGGCUACUUCACCCGAGGCCUACACCUUCCCUGUUACGACUUCCAUCGCUGCUGGGGAGGAGGCAGUAGCGUCAGGAGUGGCCUUGACAGCAUCCGGUCCGAACCCUGGAGGGUAAGGAGGGGUCACUGCAUCCUUGAUGUUGUGUGCAAGCGGGGUUUUGUCAAUGUCGGCCCCCGCCCCAGUACCCGGCGGUGUUGAUGGUGAAGUGCCUGCGCCACCCAAGGCUAUGGUUGGUGUAGAAGCCGUGGGCAGCACAGGUUUUGUCGUGGCCGUCAUAGUAUUUUCGCCGAUGCACGUCUUCCUUGUACCUUUCUGGCCCGGCUCGUCGCUCACUCUAAGCGCGCUGACCGCGGCGAUAGCCGCUUGUACAGCCGGAUCCAGCAACACGUCAUCAGGGAUAUCCCUGCAUCUUACCAUGUCCUGUGAUCGAGCAUGCACCGCCUUCUUGUCUCUGCCUAGCUUCUCCCAGGCUAACUUCGCCGGGGCUGUCCAUGCCACCCCGUCCAACUCAGAGCCAAAGUGCAAGAAACGCCUGGCACUGCAAGCGUCCGGAGCCACAAAGCCUCCCUUGUUCUUGCUUGAUUUGUAGGGCGACGCCCUCAUCGCGCCUGUGAGCCUUACUGCUUGAUCAUCCGUCGGCAGCCUGCAAUCCCUUUCCCCAUGACCUAUAUGCCCACAAUACAUACAGAAACGCGGGGCUCUCUCGUACUUGACCUCUAGGUCCAUCUUCUUAUCCACACCUAACUCUCUAGGACUGAUCUCACGCAGGAGAGGGGUGUUUACAUCAUGUUCAACUCUUACACGAAGAAACUCCGAGAAAAUAUUCCCAAACUUAUCAGUAUCUACCCUCAGAACUUUCCCUAAGAGACCGCCCAGCAUCCAUCCGAUCUCUUCCGACAGCAUGAGCGGUGGUACAUCAUAGAUGCGAGCCCAGAUUGGCAUGACAUUCACCAGCACGUCCGCAGCCUUGCCCUGUCCAUCAAAAGGAACAAUGAGGAAUGCAUCCUUACGGUGUGUCCAUGGGCCGUUCUCCAGGACGUGCCGACGAUCGCCCUCACGCUCGAAUUCGAGCAUGAAGCGAUUGUUGCGGAGGGGUGUGUAGUCGAGCCGUCCACGCAGCCCCCACUUGCUCUUCAGUUCACCAAACAACCCCGCCGUGCUGAAGGGAAGCACGGAGAAGUACCCCACUGCGAGCCAGCGGGUACUCAUGGCAGCCCUUGCCCUUGUCAGGUCGAGCUCGAUUGUUGCAGCGCCACGCCGCUCCACAAGAGCCGCUAUCCCCCCUGGUUGGGGAGUCGGCAGGGCGCCGCCACCCCGUCCACCCUGCGAGGAGGAUCCUCGCUCCAAUCUCUUGCCACCGCGCUCGCCGCCGUUUGAGGCGACGACCUCCAGCUUGUUCUCUGCGGCCGGCUGCUUCAUCUUAUUAUCAGUGGUGUUCUCCAUAUCGUGCGUAAUGGGAAUUGUGGUAUGUUCUUGUGAUUGCAGUAUGGUAGCUCCCUUUCCUCUUCCGAUACUUAUAUACUCGUGGUCAUGGCUCUUGCAAGGCAUGGGAUCCCUCAUAUUUGGUGCAGACCUCGCAUAUAUGUCAGGUGGAUCCCCAGUUUGGGAUAGAGUGAUACGCUCCUGAAUUAUCAACAAUAUGGUACCUCCAUAAUCCCCCACACAACCCCUACUAAUUCUUUCCUCAGAUUCUUGAUCUUCUUCCUUUCUUUUCCUCAUGCCAUGAUCCGUCAGAUUCACACUCUGUUCCUUAUCUCUUCUCUGUAUAGACACUGAAACCAUAUCCUUGCAAAUCAUUCCUUUCCUUUGAGCACCCUCAUUCUUCCCUGCUAUGCUUGAUUCCGCCCAGUCAACUGGGGAUUCGCAAACCUGCGGGACAGUAGCAACUUCCGAAGAAUACUCAUUAGGUGGGAUUGCUUGACAUACCAGAUUUCGUCCCCUUUGGAGGCUCCAAUCCAAUCCGCCAUUAUCGGGUUGUGUUCUUGAUAUGCUCUCUUCCAUGGAUCUGCGGAAUCGAUUCAUCCCUUCGCGCACACGCCCCAAUAUUUCAUUUGAUCCUUUACCUCCACAUCCCUUCGAUCCUACCGGGAAUUCCGCCACCGCCUUCUUCCGAUGAACCAGCAAGCGGAUCGCUACUCCCAUCUUCUUCCGGAUCUCGUGGAGACCCAGCGGGUCUUCCUCGACGAGCUCGCGGUGCCGUGGGGAUGUAGGCUCCCACUCUCUCUGGGUUGGGGGGGCGGCGUAGGCCUCCGGCGAGGGUGGGGUUGCGCCGGCGGUCAAUCGCCAGGCGGUCGCCUCCUGAGGGGUGGGGGCGUGAUUUUCGGGACACAUUCUAUUUUCGGGACACAUACCGCCCCACUGUCGUGUUCAUCUCAGAGACGCGGCAGUGCGAAGAGAGCAUGAAAAGAAUAAGAGAAAGAAUAGGCCUCAAACAUUGUAUCACCCAUGAUGGGUUGGGCAAAGGUGCCGGCAUCGCCCUGUUUUGGGACGACAGUAUUGAAAUAAAUUUGCUCUCUUAUGGACCGCGAUACAUUGAUGUUCAUGUGCGUAAUGAUCCAAAUGGCCCUGUGUGAAGAGGUACCUUCGUUUAUGGUGAGCCAAGAGCCCACCAGAGACACCAUAUGUGGAGUUUGCUGAAAAGAAUCAAAGAUAGGUCAGUAGAACCAUGGAUGGUGAUGGGGGAUUUCAAUGAAACCAUGUGGCAGGGAGAACAUUUCUCUGCUGCCAAAAGGUCUGAAAGGAACAUGAGCAACUUCAUAGAGGUGCUGGGGUGGUGUGACCUGCAUGAUCUUGGGUUCAAAGGCCCGGAGUGGACCUUUGACAACAAACAGAGUGGUAGGAAGAAGGUUAGAGCGAGACUGGACAGAGGCGUGGCAUCACCUAGCUGGUAUGAUAUAUUUCCCCAAGCUCAGAUCCAACACAUAGUCACUUCAAGGUCAGAUCACUUUCCCCUACUGCUCACUCUUGUGGAGGAACAAUCUAUGAACAAGAAGAAAAGUUUCAGGUAUGAAAUGAUGUGGGAAAGAGUUCAUUCCUUGGAGCCUAUAGUCCGGGAGGCAUGGGGUGUUAAAGGAGCGGCCACCAACCUAUCCGAUGUCGCACAGAAGCUUAAAGAUGUCCAAAGCUCGCUAACAGCCUGGGCCAGGAAGGACUUUGGUUCUGUGACCUCGAGUAUUAGAAGGAAGAGACAACGCCUGAAGGUUUUAAUGGAGCCCCCGAAUCUUGGAGAGAACGAGCCUCAAAUCAAGAAAUUGAACGAGGAAAUUGAUGAGCUACUAGUCAGGGAGGAGGUAAUGUGGAGACAGCAUUCGCGGGCUACAUGGAUCAGAGAAGGUGAUCAGAACACACGGUAUUUUCACCAAAAAGCAACCUGGAGACAGAAAAAGAACUUAAUCAAAAAGUUAAGGAAUAAUGCGGGAAUUUGGGUUGAGAAAAAGGAGGUGUUGAACACCACGGCUACAGAGUUCUUCAAAGAGCUGUACACAAAGGAAAAAGAUGUGGCUCCGUUCGAGUUAAUUGAUCUUCUGCCAAGUACAGUAACAGAGGCAAUGAACAGUAGUCUGAUAAAGGAGUUUACAGAGAAGAAGAUUGGAGACGCCCUCUUCCAGAUCGGCCCUCUAAAAGCGCCAGGACCAGAUGGCUUCCCGGCUCGCUUUUUUCAACGAAACUGGGAGACUUUGAAGAAGGAUGUGAUUGCGGCAGUGCAAAAAAAUUUCAUGAAUGGGAUCAUGCCUGAAGGUAUAAAUGACACAUCCAUUGUUCUGAUCCCUAAAGGCAAGAAUCCGCAGAGUAUGAAAGAUUUCCGCCCAAUAAGUCUAUGCAACGUCAUUUAUAAGGUGAUUUCUAAAUGCUUGGUAAACCGCUUGAGGCCUCUGUUGGACGACUUAAUAUUAGAAACACAGAGUGCUUUCAUCCCAGGGAGGAUGAUCACUGAUAACGCUAUCAUAGCUUUUGAAUGUUUUCAUAAGAUUCAGCAUAGUAAGAACCCACAUAAUACGCAUUGUGCGUAUAAGUUGGACCUAGCCAAAGCAUAUCACAGAGUGGAUUGGGACUUCCUUGAAGGUGCAAUGGAGAAGAUGGGUUUCCACUCACUCUGGAUUAGUUGGGUAAUGAGUUGUGUUAAAUCUGUCCGCUUCUCGGUAAAACUGAAUGGAGAAGUGUUGGAGUCGUUUAUGCCCUCCAGAGGCCUCAGGCAAGGGGAUCCGCUUAGCCCUUAUUUAUUCCUCUUUGUUGCAGAUGGUCUUGCUACAAUAUUCAAUAGAGAGGUCCAGGGUGGGAAUAUUUCACCUGUUAAGGUGGCCCGGAGUAGCCCGGGGAUCUCGAAUCUACUGUUUGCGGAUGACAGUUUGGUGUUUUUUAAGGCCUCAUGCGACCAAGCCAGGGCAGUCAAGAAAGCUCUCACUCUGUUCCAAAAAUGCACGGGUCAACUAUUGAGUAGUAGCAAAUGCUCGAUCCUUUUCAGUGAACAUUGCCCGAGCAGUUUGCAGAAUGAGAUUAAGGACAUUCUCGCUUGCGAAACAGCUACCUUUGAAAGUAAGUACUUGGGGCUCCCAACACCAGAAGGAAGGAUGAAGGAGUCGAAUUUUCAACCCAUCAUGGAUAGAUUUCUGAAGAGGUGUAAUGAAGGGUUUCGAAGGCACAUGUCUUUCGCUGCUAAGGAGGUGCAUGUUAAAUCGAUAGUACAAGCACUACCCACUUUCGCUAUGGGGGUGUUUAAAUUCUCAGUGGGUUUCUGUGAGAAGUACGAGAGACUCAUCAGAGAAUUCUGGUGGGGGGAAGAGGAAGGGCAGAGAAAAGUCCAUUGGAUGGCUUGGGAUCGUAUGAUAAAACCAAAGAGAGCGGGAGGUAUAGGUUUCCGGGACAUGCAAAUUUUCAAUCAAGCUCUCCUUGCGAGACAGAGCUGGCGCCUCCUUAAAAAACCGAACAGUUUGUGCGCGAGAGUCCUAAAAUCGAAAUACUACCCAAAGGGUGAGCUUCUUGACACUGUGUUUGCUUCAGAUGCUUCCCAAGCGUGGAGGGGUAUAGAGCAUGGCCUUGAGCUUCUGAAAAAGGGCCUAAUAUGGAGAGUGGGCAAUGGAAAGAGAAUCCAAAUCCAGAGGGACCAAUGGGUGCCCAGGAAAAGUGGACUAAAGAUCACGGUCUUCAAGAGGCGAUCAAGUUUAAGAUGGGUGAACCAACUCAUAAACCAGGAAGCAAUGAAUGGGACAAGAACUUAAUCUAUCAAAUGUUCCACAGCUAUGAUGCAGAAGAAAUAUGUAAAGUUAAAAUUCCUGUAAAAGAAGUGGAUGACUGUGUAGCAUGGCAUGUGGAGAAAUCUGGCAUUUUCUCCGUCCGUAGUGCGUAUAAGCUUGGUGCAAACCUCAAGCAGCAAGGUAGCGCGAGGGCAUCUUCUUCUGUAAAUGAGGCGGAUAACAGAAGCAUUUGGGAUCUUAUUUGGAAAGCAAAGGUCCCUGAAAAGAUAAGAAUCUUUGCUUGGAGAGUGGCCACCAAAACCCUCCCCACAAAAGAAAAUAAGUGGAAGAGAACACUCGAGCUGGACAAGAUCUGCAAUAUUUGUGGGAGAGAAACGGAAGAUGAAUAUCAUGCAGUUAUAAACUGCACAAAAGCCAGAGCGCUGAGAGAGGAAAUGAGGAGACAAUGGGAGCUACCAACUGAAGAUCAAUUUCACUACACAGGCAUUGACUGGUUACAUAACCUACUGUGCAACGGCAAUGCUGAGGCACAGAGGGAAAUACUGCUGCUGAUAUGGCGAGCAUGGUGGCUCCGUGAAGACUGCGUUCAUGCAAAGGGCAAUGCCACUAUCAGCCAAUCUGCUCAAUUCCUUUCUAAAUACGCAGAAGAAAUCAGGUUUGGUGGAGUAGAGCUCACGGAAUGUAAGGAUGUUCCCGACCUAGUCGGCCGACGGGACUCUCCAGGAGAUGUGCGACGUGCAGAAAUAAAGAGAGGAAAACAAAUUAGGGAUUUGGGCCAGUGCAACGGCCAGUGGGUCAGAGUUGUAGACGCAAAUCAUGCAGGCAAUUUAGUUAUGGCGUUGAACGACUCCACGCAUACAGCUAAGAGGAAGUGGGAUCCGCCCCCUGAGGGCAUCUGGAAAUUGAACACAGAUGCAGCGUUCCUGUCGUCAAAUGGGGACACAGCUGCGGGAUUUAUUGCCAGAACGCACCUGGGGAUAGUCGCCAUUGCGGGUGGGCAGCAUCUACAACCAUGCAAUAAUUCAGAGGAAGCCGAGAUCACUGCUAUUUUGCAUGGGCUGUCAGCCCUAAGUGCAUACUACAGGGGACCAGUUUGGGUUGAAUCGGACUGUGCAUCCGUCAUAGCGAUACUGAACAAUAAGGAGAGUAAUCAGACUGCGCUCUUUCCCCUGGUCACGGAUGUUUGGCAUUUCAAAACAGUGUUCGAAGAGGUGCUUUUCAUUGCCGUGAAAAGACCCAGCAAUAGGAUGGCUCAUGAGCUAGCUGCUCUUGUCAGAAGACAGGGAAACUAUCUAUCUACCGGAGAGGUUCCCCCGAUCCUCAGAAGCAUCCUCAUGGAGGAUAGUAACAGUAUCCACUCUGUCGUUUAAGAUGUGGUUGGGUUGAUUCUCAAAAAAAAAAUUACUCAGAUUAUUCCCUAUGUCCUAGUCACCAUGAGCCUGUGGGGUCACACACUUGAAGAUAUUCUACAACCCUUGGAUAAGGUUCAGUGGAUUACAGGAAUUGAAAUCCACUUGGGCCUCAAGAGUUGAGCCCACAUAGGGGUAGCUAUAUAAAAGGUGGAGUGCACCAGAUUUUUUUUCUUUCAAAAUGGGAGUUGUCUUGCAUUCAUUAAGAAGAAAAGAGUCGCUCGGUUAAUUGGAGAAAACCGAGCGAAAACCAGAUUGCCCAUUAGUUAUGAAAAACCGGGCGAAAAAACAUCAGAACCGCUGAGCGACACACGUAAGAAACCGCACGCACACCACUCCAAAGAAGGUCUUGGUGAGACAACAUGCAUGCGUCAUCAUCGUCACUCCUCCUCUAGAGGUGUCAUUGCCAUCCCUACACAAACGACUCCGAUUUCGCCGUAGGCGAUCGUCGACUCAACCCACACUGUAGCGGACUCGUGAAGCUGCAUGAAGAUUUGUGCCAAGACUCAGACACCUGCGGCAAGACAACGCAACUCCGACUUUGACGGAGAACUCUGAAGGACAAAACCAAGCACACCAGGCGCCACGGAAGAUCACCGAGCGGGCCACCUGCAGCCAGUCAUCGUAUACCACAGGCCCCGCCGCCGCAGUUUCGACUCUACAACAACAAACAAACAAACAAACCGAGGUAAUACCAUGGACACGCCGGGGAGAAGAGUCGACUACCUCAACCAUUGUCACAUCGCCGACAACGCUCCGACCAUCAUCAUUGCAGAUUAAGGCACGCGAGAGAUAACCAGUUUUGGUGAUCCACUUUAGGGUUUGGAGAAACCCUCCAGGUGUUGUCGGCAUCUCCUUUCUUCGUCCAGCGUUUCCAACUUAGCUUCUAGUGCGUCAGUGCACUCGAAUAGAAUACCACAAGGGUUCAAGGCUUAGGAGGUGGGUUCUGAAGAUUUCGUCGUUACCCUGUGAAGAGCAAAUGCUUGUCUCGCACACACUUUGUUUGAUCGAGGAGUGUCAUGUAAAUGCCUACUUUCAAGUUGAUCGUCAUUGGUGGCGAAAAAAUAGUCCACACUUGAUGUUCGAGCCAUCUUUAAUUUCUUAUAUCGAUAUAAGACCGAUUCCUUGAGGAAACAUUUCAUGUUUUUCUUGACUAAUUAUGAGUGACUAGUGAUGUCUGAUUGCGGAGCAGUUAAUCUUACUCAAGGCCCUACUUAGUCCUACCAAACCUAUAAUUGGCAAAUCAUCAAGGUCAAGUGAAGCAACCAACUAUGGUCAAACAAGUGAAUGGAGGAAAAAGACUAAGCCAAAGAAAUAGUUAAUGGAAAAGAGGCCCAAGUCAAUAAGGAAUCCCAAGAAAAGAAACCCACCAUGGUGGAAUAGAUGAGAGGGAUUAGUCCACCAUGAGCUAUGAACUCACCCUCUCUCCUAGUCCAUCAUGGAAUUAUGGAUCAAAGAUUACUUCCAUUGCCCAUCCCACCCGUGAUUUCAUUAUCGUUGUGCACAGAUCAUUGUAGCUCUACCAAGGCAAGAACUAAUGAUAUGUAUUGCCAUAAGAUGGUGCCAAGUGCUAUACUAAUGUUUUUAUUAGUGAAUUCAGUGAAGCUAUUAUUCCAAGCAUUGGUAUCAGCUGGUAUUGUUGCCCGGACAGAGCUACCAAUGCCAAUAAAUCUUUCACCUUUUAAUUAGUUAUGUACAAAGAAUCAUAUAGAAGAUGAGGAAUGAAAUUUCAUGUGGCUGCCAUUGAUAGAAACGGAGGAUGUAGUUUUCACGGCAAAGUGGGACAAAGCGAAGGCAGAGCGAGGGGUUAACAAAGAAAAUGGCAGGAAGGAAGAAUAUGUUUUGUAUGGUCGUGUUAACAUAUCUUCUAUUUUGACACAAAUAAGGCUAUUUUUUGCAUUUUAAUUGUCAGAGCUAAAGGCAGAGCCUACAUGCCUACAUGUGUGGUAGCUACAUAAGCCCUGUGGUAACCUUAGUCUAUAUAAACCUUGUACUAGGUAUGUAACUCAUUCACCACUUGAAUGAAAUCACACGAAGAGAACUACAACUCCCAUACUCGUUCAAAGAACUCUAAGAUCAAGUUCUAGGAGUCUCGUAUGAUUUGGCCCAGUGUUGACGAAAAGAAAAUUUGGAGAGAGUGCCGAGGAGUCCCAUACGACUCGGGCCGAUAACUAAAUAUCCCUCGUCGCCUUUUAACAUAGGACUAACCCGCACUCUGUUGAGUAUAUUGAACCUAUAAUUUUUUUUUGAAAUAUUAAUAUACCAUUGUGUGCGUGGAAACAAGAAUAAGAAAAUAUAACAAAAAAACCACCAACAUGUCCCUAAAUUAAACUGUGGUAACCAGCAUGUGAGAGUGCUUACAAAUACAAAUACAAAACUACUCCGUCAAUGUAUCUAGAACAUUCACAGCUAAACAAAUCUAAGACAAGUAAUUUAUGACAGAGGUAAUAUAUUCGAUGAAUUGUGUAACUAUCUGACACGCUGACAGCAGCCCCCGACAGCAGAUGCACAUGAAGAUGCGGAUACUUAACAUUAUAGCCGCAAGCAGCAGGGCUGCUAACCAUACGAUACGAGAGUGUGAGAGCAAUUGUUUACCAUCUCCUGGUAAACAAACGCAUGAGACGAGGGCCUGAGCCAAAACCCACAAGUCCAUGCCCUGUACCGCACGCACACACCGAGGAAAACAACUCCGGAGAUGAGACGGCGGAUGGGCGUCGGUAACCGCGACCGCAUCCGAGAGAGACGCCGGGCCAAGGACGAGGGAGCACAUCGUCAAAGGGACCCUAGCUCCUUUUACUAUUAAUCGCGCCUGCACUGCGCCGGAGGUCCGCCCGCCGCGGCACACCGUCUUUGUGUCUUUCGCUAGAUUUAGGGUUGGUUUCUCCGUGCUUUUACAGGCCGGAGGGGUAGAAUCUUUCUUUUCUUCCUUUCACCCCUUUCACCCCUUUGCGUUCUACACUGCUCCCGCGUGUGCAGCAUAUACGCAUACUCUAGGGUUGAACGCAUGAUGAUCUUCUAGAAAGAAGAGGCAUCCAACCGCAUCCAUGUUUUUUUUUUUAAAACAAGGCAAAAUAUUUACCAUUUUCAUUGAAUAAGAAGGAGUAUUAGGGGUCUUGGCCAAAGGCCAAAUACAACGGAUGGGCCAUGAUUGUGUUGAGCGUGGUAGCUUCGGCGGGUUCCUUUUUCUUAAUAGUAGUAAAAAAAAGAGCAGAGGAUUCAUCUCCCUCCCGCAUCGACAUCUCGUUUAAUGCUAAUUUCUGCUACUUCUUGGGCACAAUCAUUUGUGCGAUCGUGUCGCUCUUGAGUUGUUCCUCGAGCUCCAACUAUACCGCUUGCACGCCUACAUGCUUGCCUCUGCGUCCUGGGUCAAUAAUUCCGCUUAAUUAUUUGGUCCACCCUGUGGUUUUCAGGAUAUUGCUCUGUCGCCUGUCGGUCAUAGAGGCCGUCUGGCACCGACCUCUGGCAAAGAUCAUCAGCAAGGAUCAGUGGGCGUCCAGUGUCUUUAAGACUGAGACACCAUUCACAUUUGUUCAGUCACGAAUCUGUCAUGUUGAUUUCUUUUUACCAUGUUUCCUGCCAUUUGCUUUUGUUUUUCACCGAUGGAACCAUUUUUACUACACCCUCCAUAGAAGAAUACUCCCUCCGUUCCUAAAAUAUGUCCAUAUGCAUCCGUAUGUAGUCCAUAGUGGAAUGUCUAAAAAGAACUAUAUUUAGGAACGGAGGGAGUAUAAGAUCUAAACGACUGUACAUUUCUUUACGGAGGGAGUGCAUGCCAAUAAAAUUUCCUUCAGAUUUCAGGCUCUUGAAGCACAAGAUCACCAGCAAAACACGAGUCAACAAGAACAAAGAGAGACUGAUCAGCACCAUAUUCAUGCUCACCGCAUGCACAAUUUAAAGUGAGUAUUUCAAAAGGAAGGAUACAACAUCUCGUCUUCUUCAAGAAAGAUGACACAGCCCAUGCAUACCCGCAAAAUAAUGCAUCAAAUCUUCUGCCUCUACUCCCCCUGCACUCCAUUCCAGGACCAGCCCCGGUUACCAGCUGGUCGCUUUUGAACAAUUCAUGGAGAUGCAGAGUGGGUCACGAAUCCUAAUCUGAAUCACAAUACUAGAAAUGGCAAAUGGCCUUCUAAACCCUCCAGCCACAUUCAGACAUUCUACAUCCAGUCGGUAGUACUUUACAGUUGAACUCUCAUCUCCACACCACUUCAUCUGUCCUUGACCGGUCACGCACAAAGGCCGCACCGUCUUUAAAUUAGCCUAGUCGAAGGAACCGCCUAUGUACCGGGAGAACAUACCGCUUCGACCGCCACCCUCUUCAUCACGUUAGGGCAGGGAUCUCCACCGAAGUUGUCGGGGGAGAUGGCGACGGCGCAUCUUUGCUUCCCAAUGCAUUUCUGUUCAAAUCAGCACAAGAAACAUCAGCAAGUAGCAUAACAAUGUGAACAUGGGCAUUCUGUAGCAUUCCGGUAAAGAAAAUUCAAGCGGUCUAAAACUAUCAAAAGAAAUUAACUGACCUCAAGAACAGUCUGUGACUUGGUUGAAUGACACUCCCCUUGCUCGAAACUUCCGCAAGUCCCAGAGGGCGUCCCGAAGCUUGCAAACUUGAUGGCAGAAAUAGACUGCCCAGGUGCGCAUCUUAGAUGCACCUUCGACCUGCGUAACUCAGGCUUAGCUUCCCCUGAGCUCUCGGUCUGCCAGUUCUUGAUACUUGGAUGAAACUCUGAUACAUCAGCACAGACACUUGAGACUGAUCUCUUCACAAGCGAAAUCUUCGAAGUAUCCCCUCCAAGUUCCUCGAAAACAACUAGCAGAUUUCUAGAUGGUUGCAACCAGGAUUUUGGCACAUGAUACCUGAAUAUAACAGUUUGAACUAUUUAGUCAAUGCAGUAGCAACAACACUUUACUAACAAGGGCAAAAACCAAACAAUAAUUGGAAGUGAAUGCUCCAGUUCUAAUGGUGAAAGGAAGACAAGUACCAAGCAGUAUGAUUUUGAAUACUAAAAAAAGAUGAGGCAGCAGGCUGAUUAUCUCUAAUUCAAAUGUUGUGGUAAAUGGUCUUACCAACGUUGUGUCGGCUGACCGCAACCUGCUUGACAUUUGGUUGCCCGGAAUGACCCAGUGUAACUGUAAUCUUUGCAGUCCCCAGUUGCAUAUGCUAAUGAGUACCGUCCAAUGCUUUGUCCAUUUAUCCAGAUUUGUCCCUUACCCAUGCUACCCAUAUCCAGAGCCAGAGGUUCAUCACCGCUUGGAGUAUCAAAGUAUGCCUAUUAAAACAAGCAGUUGUAAGAGUGGGAUUGAAAAUAUUAAACCCCUAAAGGGUUCCUAUCAUAGAUUGAUUUUUUUUCCUUACCCUAUACCAUGCCAAUGGCAUUUGGUUUUGUGCUAUCAAUGAUCCUUGCAUCCAUUCAACUGAACUUGCACCUUCUAAGGAGUUCAGGUUCAUUUGUUCACCUUUCAGACCAACCUAGAAUGGAUAAAGGUACAUUUAUUUACCUUCUUUCUAACUUAAAACAUAAAUUAGUCAACAAAGAAGUUACUAGAUGCUGCACUCACCUGAUAGGUCCAUGUCUGCCAGGUCAGAUCUCGCGAACCUUCGUCCAAACCAUGAAGCACAACAGGACCAUUGACACCAGUAUUCCAUGUCUCGUAAUGAACCCCGAUAUUCUACAGGGACAAGAAUAGUUCAGUCAUAUAUAUGCAAGAUUAUUAGCUGUAAGUUUAUAAAUUCAUGCAGCGAUGAGGGAACGAACCGGUAGCCCACAAGCAACACUCAGCAGUGAUAUUUUGUUAGUACCGGCACGAAGGUUAACAUUGCCCUUGUAUGAGAUUCUUUUAUCUUCCCUGGUUCCAGAAGCAGAGCCUACACCAGAACAAAAAUUAUUUUAUUCACUAUUCAGUUUCCACAGUGCUGGUGUUGUAUAGACAAGAGAGCAGUUUCAAGUGGAAAACCUUGUAGCUGUCCAUUGAUAAAGAUAUGCAAGGCAUGGCCAGCAGACUGCACAGAGAGAGACAAAGGCUUGCCACCUUGUAGAAACUUCUCAGAGGGGCUUACAUCCACACUGCAAUAAUCAUUUUAAGCAUAUUAUGUUUCAGCAUGAAAGGAUGCAGAGGCCAGGGGUAAUCCUCCUUUUCUAAAACAAAAAGCAUGAAAGACAUGUCCCUCGUUUUUUCAUAAACAGAAAACCGAAGGAAAGUUGUACAAACAGAUGAAACUCCACCUGUAACUUAUUCGUGUGGCAAUUACCUGGUCAUGUACCAAAGAUAAUCACUGGUGUCUCUUGUGACGUUAAGCUGUUCCAGUAGACCAGUUGUGGUGAGCAACGGAGCAGCUGCCAGUGAACCAACCUCCUCAUCAUACCUCUCCCACAUCAUUGAAGAGGCCCCAUCGGACCACAUUUGCAUUUGAGAUGUCUGAACACCAACCUGUGGAGAUAAUAACAGUUUGGACCAGCUAAACAAACUCCUCAUAUAAUGGAUUGAAAUAAUAAGACGUGAGAACGACAUAAUACCAUCCGCAUAAGCACAAGUGAAACUUACCGUUGCAGUGUUAUAAACAACUGUUUUGCAAUCAGGAAGGAUGCUGAUUGACCAAGGUGGAAGACUAUAAUGCUCAUUGUCGAAGACAACUUUUGCAUGAGAGUUAGAAUUAUAGUUUGCGAGAAAAGCUGCACAACCAGAUGGAGAUCGGUAGACAUGGGCCUGAAUUACAGGUUGUAGAUGUAAGUGACAGAUCAAGCCAUAUAAGAUAUAUGCACUUCAGUGAUGGGAAAAGGUAAUCAAUACAAACCUCUUGCAUGCUUCCAAGGGAAGUCACAGUUGGAUCAACAGAAACCAAGGCCGGCUCACAUAACUUAAUAGCUCUAUGAAGUUCUUUAAGAUGUCCAUACUUUGGUUCUCUUGCAAGUCCUGGUUAGUAACAAAGCAGAGUUUGGGUAAGAAUUAUCUAGCCCAUUUAGCAAAACUUCAAUUCUUUAUAUGUCAAAAGUCACCACUAUGUUCAAAAUAGACAAAUAAUAGAUACAGAUAGUGAUCAUACUGACAGCAAAACUCUGUAAUUCUAAACUUACCAUAUUCAUCAAGUGGAGCGUCAUAAUCAUAGCUUGUGGUGAUGAAGGGACCUCCAGCGGUGCGCCCAAAAUUUGUUCCACCAUGAUACUUUGUUCAGAAAAAAAAACAUGAAUAUCACCCCGCAGAAAGCUUCAAGAAAACUUGCUAAUGGUAAUAAGAAUAUCUACAACUUAUUUUCUGUCAUACCAUGUAGUAGUUGAUAAAAGAACCACCCUUCUGCACGAAGCGAGCAACAGCAAAUGAAAGAUCUUCAGCUGGUCGUUUACGGAUGGUCCCACCAAAUUCGGUAAACCUACAUUAUUGUUCAUAUUAAUGCAAUUGUACAGAAUACGAAUGAUGAACAUGUGAACUGCAUCAAUGAAAAAUGUAGCUGUAUAAUUUUCGCAGUAGAUUGGAUAUUUCCCUCGAGAGAGAACUUACCAACCAGUCCAAGCUUCAGUCCACAUCGUAGGCUUUGAAGGCGUGUUCGGUGUAAAUGCAUCACAGUAGAAACCAUUGCAUGCGUUUAUCUGUACAAAGGACAAGUUAAAUGUAAUUUGAACUACUAGUUCGACAAGAUGUAGCAUACAAACUGAUUUGAAUUAAUUGAUUAUAGUUGUAAAACGAGUGUACUAUAUUCUGUAUACAAACUGGAACCAGAUAUUUUAGAAACCUAAAACACUAAAUGGAAUGCCUUAUGGACAUAACCUGCAGUGAGCUCACAGAAAUAUGCAUCAGCAUGCUGUGUACCCUUGUUACAACUUGCAAGACCAAAAAAAAAACUAAUACCCUUAAAAAUCUAAGAGGCCAGAUAAUCAUCAGUUUGCUACAUUUGUGCCAUGAUCUUUUUAAUUCGACAUGGGACAAGAUUAACAUAC
rnacentral:lncRNA from 1 species